rnacentral:rRNA from 1 species
AUUGAACGCUGGCGGCAGGCCUAACACAUGCAAGUCGAGCGAGCGGCGGACUGGUGAGUAAUGUCUGGGAAACUGCCUGAUCGAGGGGGAUAACUACUGGAAACGGUAGCUAAUACCGCAAACCAUCAGAUGUGCUCAGAUGGGAUUAGCUAGUAGGUGGGGUAAUGGCUCACCUAGGCGACGAUCCCUAGCUGGUCUGAGAGGAUGACCAGCCACACUGGAACUGAGACACGGUCCAGACUCCUACGGGAGGCAGCAGUGGGGAAUAUUGCACAAUGGGCGCAAGCCUGAUGCAGCCAUGCCGCGUGUGUGAAGAAGGCUUUCGGGUUGUAAAGCACUUUUGGCGAGGAGGCGUUACUCACAGAAGAAGCAACGGCUAACUCCGUGCCAGCAGCCGCGGUAAUAC